rnacentral:misc_RNA from 1 species
GCUGAAUGUAAUUUGUAACUCGCGCAAACUUUAUAUACCUUUAGGAUACCCUCCCUCCACCACAUCAUAUGAGCUUUUCUCCAAAGGCAUUAUUAAAGCCAACGGAUCCUUUGAAUCCUUUCCUUCGUCAGUUGCUUCAUCGAAUAGAUCAUCAUACGUGACAGGCAUCCUUAUUCUAUCAUGAACAGAUGCACGUUUGGCUCCACUAUUAGACUGUUCAACAGGUUCUUGCUGCAGCAAAACAUCUGAACAACUGGCUGUAAUCUCGUCUCCUAUUGUCUGACUAGAUCUCUCCAAAGAAGCUUCUUUGUUUUGGAGGGGUUCUUGCUUGAGAUUAGCCUGCCUAAACUGCUUCUCAAACUCCUUCCCUUUCUUCAUUAUCUCUUUGUAUGCAUUUGGAUCUCGUACUUUAAGGAUGCUCCACAAUAUUCCACCACCUGUUCGGAAACGCCUGCCAUCAGCAGUCUUCUGGCCGCCACAAGUCUGAAUUGCAUCCACCAUGGGGUAAAACAACAAAGACAGGCAAAAACAUUGGAAUCAAUCCAAAU